CCGGCCCUACAGCCCUCGGGCCCUCCGGCCCCUCCCCCCCGCCCCCACCUCUCUGUCCUCCUCUCCCCCUCCAAAUCCUCCCCAACUCGCCGCCACCCUCCAGGUUACGCCCCCGCCGCCUCCCCGCCCCUCCUCGCCUUGCCCCGCCCCGCUCUUUCGCAGCUGCGCAGGUGCGGCCGCUUCCAGUGGAGUCGCAAGGCGACGGUCGCGUCAUUGGGUAGCGUGUGUCGAGUCACAGGCGGUUUUCUGGCAGGUGCGGCCGGGAGCGGACGCUGAGGAAGUGACCACGAUUUUAGUAUUCCCACCUUCCGAACUCUGUAGGUUCUGUGCCGGUCAGGUGAUUCGUGAAAGCCUGAGGAAGUGCUAUUUGUGUAAAAUUUUGUGAAAACGUUUUGGAAACGAGAGAAAAACAUUUGGGGAGUAAGUAAGGAAGAGAAACGCAAAACUGUGAUUGAGGAGAAAUGGUUUAGGUCUUGGCUCCUUCAUCGAGAAAUGAGCUAAGGCUCCUAAAUGAAUGGCAACAUCAUCUGCUUCUGCAAACCAGAAAUCUUGGAGUUAUCCAUAGAAUUUUCUCUUCUUCAUCCCCAUAUCCAAUAUUCCAUAAUGAAUUCUGUUGUUUCUCCAUUGUAAAAAACAAAACAAAACAAACAAACAAAAACAA